GUUUGGUCCCCAGAGGACAUCUGGCAAUGUCUGGAGACAUUUUUGGUUGUCACAACUAGGGGGGUGUUACUGGCAUCUGGUUGGUGCAGGCCAGGGAUGCUGCUACAUGUCCUACAGUGCACAGGACAGCCCCCC